GCCGGAGAGUUUGUGAACUUCCUUCCCGCUCCGCAUCUCAGCGUGCUGGGAUUCCAGGAACGGCCCACCAGGCCUGGCUUGUCGGCAGAGUUUUCCAGAAGUCCAGGCAAGAGAAUGAAGUUUAACCGGGGAACUUGAAAUGGCAGGGGAGAUGUAGGGAAGUAACAAGGUCUGGGAGGUGGUAAGAGCUGGUACAAGCAUGGCUGCCAGGCGCUGAAAAGAGCGCCAGGAAGAGGAAAGAGUAGGGACUGACACCAGGCUUUGGGCUGGCACAGCGGGGUGAAGAACGGUUCCUCAGACAGCACAGUCUCCUGAACACGGCUGGGUGCUCACUCUUCGUUCCUGUUUUUGUUGCACUGAAAAUAUGUAUUAAGCAGACCAUUUUCAUCUCCCUCUGAAAAGCGCCAACCCACCCAAAUGGCACCUUCUUCAGACUCCUGGAGAGAGAAAUUCUGAUCCAGCACUAGAGGUGAGUGUUGCCUUCAACAUGGCGUCUCCCAGAGGAGUAGGGAGAGAUGCAGAGAGAUUCCCAAAC
rnacentral:lncRNA from 1 species